rnacentral:rRNA from 1 species
UGGGGAAUUUUGGACAAUGGGCGCAAGCCUGAUCCAGCAAUGCCGCGUGCAGGAUGAAGGCCUUUGGGUUGUAAACUGCUUUUGUACGGAGCGAAAAGGUCUGCCCUAAUACGGUGGGCUCAUGACGGUACCGUAAGAAUAAGCACCGGCUAACUACGUGCCAGCAGCCGCGGUAAUACGUAGGGUGCGAGCGUUAAUCGUAAUUACUGGGCGUAAAGCGUGCGCAGGCGGUUAUAUAAGACAGAUGUGAAAUCCCCGGGCUCAACCUGGGACCUGCAUUAGUGACUGUAUAGCUAGAGUACGGUAGAGGGGGAUGGAAUUCCGCGUGUAGCAGUGAAAUGCGUAGAUAUGCGGAGGAACACCGAUGGCGAAGGCAAUCCCCUGGACCUGUACUGACGCUCAUGCACGAAAGCGUGGGGAGCAAACA